UACAGAGGUCUCAAGCGUUGUUCGGAUUCAUUGGGCGUAAAGGGUGCGUAGGUGGCGCCGUAAGUCAGGUGUGAAAUUUCGGAGCUUAACUCCGAAACUGCAUUUGAUACUGCGGUGCUUGAGGACUGGAGAGGAGACUGGAAUUUACGGUGUAGCAGUGAAAUGCGUAGAGAUCGUAAGGAAGACCAGUGGCGAAGGCGGGUCUCUGGACAGUUCCUGACACUGAGGCACGAAGGCCAGGGGGGCAAACGGG
rnacentral:rRNA from 1 species